rnacentral:rRNA from 1 species
UCUUUCAAUAUGAGAGUUUGAUCCUGGCUCAGAACGAACGCUGGCGGCAGGCCUAACACAUGCAAGUCGAACGCUCCGCAAGGGGAGUGGCAGACGGGUGAGUAACACGUGGGAAUCUUCCUAUUGGUAUGGAAUAGCUCAGGGAAACUUGGGGUAAUACCGUAUAAGCCCGAGAGGGGAAAGAUUUAUCGCCAAUAGAUGAGCCCGCGUCUGAUUAGCUAGUUGGUGAGGUAAUGGCUCACCAAGGCGACGAUCAGUAGCUGGUCUGAGAGGAUGAUCAGCCACACUGGGACUGAGACACGGCCCA